GGCUCUGUGGCACAAUGGAUAGUGCAUUGGACUUCUAGAAAGUGAAGGGAUUCAAAGGUUCUGGGUUCGAGUCCCAGCAGAGUCU
rfam:Alligator sinensis unplaced genomic scaffold scaffold599_1, whole genome shotgun sequence